rnacentral:rRNA from 1 species
AUCCGGAGGGGGCUAGCGUUGUUCGGAAUUACUGGGCGUAAAGCGUACGUAGGCGGAUUGAUCAGUUGGGGGUGAAAUCCCAGGGCUUAACCCUGGAACUGCCUUCAAUACUGUCAGUCUUGAGUCCGGAAGAGGUGAGUGGAAUUCCUGGUGUAGAGGUGAAAUUCAUAGAUAUCAGGAGGAACACCAGUGGCGAAGGCGGCUCACUGGUCCGGUACUGACGCUGAGGUACGAAAGCGUGGGGAGCAAACAGGAUUAGAAACCCUAGUAGUCC